rnacentral:rRNA from 1 species
GACGAACGCUGGCGGCGUGCUUAACACAUGCCAGUCGAACGAUGAAGAAAAGAAUUGAAGCUUCGGCAGAAAUUCAUUUCGGAUUAGUGGCAGACGGGUGAGUAACGCGUGAGCAACCUACCUCUUACAAAGGGAUAGCCUCGGGAAACCGGGAUUAAUACCAUAUAACAUUGCGACGAAGCAUUUCGAUGCAAUCAAAGCUACGGCGGUAAGAGAUGGGCUCGCGUCCCAUUAACCAGAUGGUGAGGUAACGGCUCACCAUAGUAACGAUGGGUAACCGGCCUGAGAGGGUGAACGGUCACACUGGAACUGAGACACGGUCCAGACUCCUACGGGAGGCAGCAGUGGGGAAUAUUGCACAAUGGAGGGAACUCUGAUGCAGCGACGCCGCGUGAGUGAUGAAGGAAUUCGUUUCGUAAAACUCUGUUCUAUGGGAAGAAAAGGACUGUACCAUAGGAGAAAGCUCCGGCUAAAUACGUG